rnacentral:tRNA from 1 species
ACAUUGGUGCUUCAGUGGUAGAAUGCUCGCCUUCCAAGCAGGAGAUCCAGGUUAGAUUCCCUGCCAAUGCA